AAGCAGCAGGAGCAUCUUUAGGGAUCCCUAUGAUGUCAUUGAGAGGCAGCGGCGAGAGGGGAGACCUCGGAUCAUCCAGCUCGAGAGCCUGACCAGGAGGAGUCGAACAUUAACUCAGCUCUUCCAGGGCACCCUGCAGACUCGGCUGUUGGCAUCGACAAGGGAUGACGUGAACGCCAAACUGGAGUCCAUCACAGGUCAACUGCAGCUCCUUGUCUCAGAGUGGGAGGGAUUUGAAGCACAAAGGAAGGAGCUUGUCGUUUGGUU